UCUCUGCGUGGCUGAGCACAUUAUUGUACAGUCCCAGCCACUACAGUAAUGUCUGGUGUGACUUCAAGGACUCUCCUCUGAAACUGGGACAGAGUUCUGUGUUGCUGCUCCAGCCCUUUCCAUCUGCCUUUUUGUUCUCCAUCACAGCUGUGGCCUGUCCUCAUAUGUGAAAUAACAAAUUCAAUUUUGUCUUACUUGCUGUGAAGCCUUGGAGAAAUGACUCAGUCCAUGCAAACCACCAACUCUCCCACUUACCCUCCUGUGAAGGAAAAUUUAUUUUAGUUGAAUUGGGUGAUUACAGUCAAGGAGGAGAAACAUUUGCCUUUUUGAGCAGAGAAGUCAAAGAACCCUCAGAGAUGGACAUCCUUUCCGUACCUAAGAGUCCCACCAAUGGCAGCUUCGUAUUAAACCAGAGACAGAUUAUUCUCUCUGAUGAAUAAUAUUAUUGCCCCCCUGCCCAAGAAUUACCUCUCAUUUUGUAGUUUUCUCCAGCUGAGACACAGAGGUAGUAUGUUAUUUCUCUUGUUUCCAAAAGAGUAUUCUGCUGGCUUUACUUGGCUGAUGUCUGUAUGGAUGAACACAUGAGAAGGAAAGACCAGGAAGCUAAGCUCAGAGGACUUCUGGACCUAAAACCACUGGAACAGAGGGUUUCUUGUACUGUUCUGUGUUUCUACACAUUAACUCCAGACAGUGCUUCUGGUCGCAAUUACAAAAUAUUUCAGCUCUCUGCUGGGUAGAGUGAA